GACGAACGCUGGCGGCGUGCCUAAUACAUGCAAGUCGAGCGGACUUGAUGAAGUGCUUGCACUUCUGAUGGUUAGCGGCGGACGGGUGAGUAACACGUAGGUAACCUGCCUAUAAGACUGGGAUAACAUUCGGAAACGAAUGCUAAUACCGGAUACGCGAAUUGGUCGCAUGGCCGAAUCGGGAAAGACGGAGCAAUCUGUCACUUAUAGAUGGACCUGCGGCGCAUUAGCUAGUUGGUGAGGUAACGGCUCACCAAGGCGACGAUGCGUAGCCGACCUGAUGGGGUGAUCGGCCACACUGGGAAUGAGACACGGCCCAGACUCCUACGGGAGGCAGCAGUAGGGAAUCUUCCGCAAUGGACGAAAGUCUGACGGAGCAACGCCGCGUGAGUGAUGAAGGUUUUCGGAUCGUAAAGCUCUGUUGCCAGGGAAGAACGCUUGGGAGAGUAACUGCUGUCAAGGUGACGGUACCUGAGAAGAAAGCCCCGGCUAACUACGUGCCAGCAGCCGCCGUAA
rnacentral:rRNA from 1 species